rnacentral:rRNA from 1 species
CCUACGGGAGGCAGCAGUAGGGAAUUUUCGUCAAUGGGCGCAAGCCUGAACGAGCGAUGCCGCGUGAGUGAAGAAGGCCUUCGGGUCGUAAAGCUCUGUUGCGGGGGAAAAAAGGCAGCAUCAGGAAAUGGGUGCUGACUGAUGGUGCCCCGCCAGAAAGUCACGGCUAACUACGUGCCAGCAGCCGCGGUAAUACGUAGGUGGCGAGCGUUAUCCGGAAUGAUUGGGCGUAAAGGGUGCGCAGGCGGUCCUGCAAGUCUGGAGUGAAACGCAUGAGCUCAACUCAUGCAUGGCUUUGGAAACUGGAGUGUGUGAGAGGAUAGUGGAAUUCCAGGUGUAGGAGUGAAAUCCGUAGAUAUCUGGAGGAACAUCAGUGGCGAAGGCGACUAUCUGGCACAUAACUGACGCUGAGGAGCGAAAGCGUGGGUAGCAAACAGGAUUAGAUACCCGGGUAGUC